CCCUGGCUCAGGACGAACGCGGGCGGCGUGCUUAAUACAUGCAAGUCGAGCGGAUUUAUCCUUCGGGAUAAGUUAGCGGCGGACGGGUGAGUAACACGUAGGUAACCUGCCUAUAAGAUCGGGAUAACUAUCGGAAACGAUAGCUAAGACCGGAUAAUUGGUUUUCUCGCAUGAGAGAAUUAUGAAACACGGAGCAAUCUGUGGCUUAUAGAUGGGCCUGCGGCGCAUUAGCUAGUUGGUAGGGUAACGGCCUACCAAGGCGACGAUGCGUAGCCGACCUGAGAGGGUGAACGGCCACACUGGGACUGAGACACGGCCCAGACUCCUACGGGAGGCAGCAGUAGGGAAUCUUCCGCAAUGGACGCAAGUCUGACGGAGCAACGCCGCGUGAGUGAUGAAGGUUUUCGGAUCGUAAAGCUCUGUUGCCCUAGACGAACAGCAAGAGGAGUAACUGCCUUUUGUGUGACGGUAUAGGAGAAGAAAGCCCCGGCAACUA
rnacentral:rRNA from 1 species